rnacentral:rRNA from 1 species
GAUGAACGCUGGCGGCGUGCCUAAUACAUGCAAGUCGAGCGAACGGACGAGAAGCUUGCUUCUCUGACGUUAGCGGCGGACGGGUGAGUAACACGUGGAUAACCUACCUAUAAGACUGGGAUAACUUCGGGAAACCGGAGCUAAUACCGGAUAAUAUUUUGAACCGCAUGGUUCAAAAGUGAAAGACGGUCUUGCUGUCACUUAUAGAUGGAUCCGCGCUGCAUUAGCUAGUUGGUAAGGUAACGGCUUACCAAGGCAACGAUGCAUAGCCGACCUGAGAGGGUGAUCGGCCACACUGGAACUGAGACACGGUCCAGACUCCUACGGGAGGCAGCAGUAGGGAAUCUUCCGCAAUGGGCGAAAGCCUGAUGGAGCAACGCCGCGUGAGUGAUGAAGGUCUUCGGAUCGUAAAACUCUGUUAUUAGGGAAGAACAUAUGUGUAAGUAACUGUGCACAUCUUGACGGUACCUAAUCAGAAAGCCACGGCUAACUACGUGCCAGCAGCCGCGGUAAUACGUAGGUGGCAAGCGUUAUCCGGAAUUAUUGGGCGUAAAGCGCGCGUAGGCGGUUUUUUAUGUCUGAUGUGAAAGCCCACGGCUCAACCGUGGAGGGUCAUUGGAAACUGGAAAACUUGAGUGCAGAAGAGGAAAGUGGAAUUCCAUGUGUAGCGGUGAAAUGCGCAGAGAUAUGGAGGAACACCAGUGGCGAAGGCGACUUUCUGGUCUGUAACUGACGCUGAUGUGCGAAAGCGUGGGGAUCAAACAGGAUUAGAUACCCUGGUAGUCCACGCCGUAAACGAUGAGUGCUAAGUGUUAGGGGGUUUCCGCCCCUUAGUGCUGCAGCUAACGCAUUAAGCACUCCGCCUGGGGAGUACGACCGCAAGGUUGAAACUCAAAGGAAUUGACGGGGACCCGCACAAGCGGUGGAGCAUGUGGUUUAAUUCGAAGCAACGCGAAGAACCUUACCAAAUCUUGACAUCCUUUGACAACUCUAGAGAUAGAGCCUUCCCCUUCGGGGGACAAAGUGACAGGUGGUGCAUGGUUGUCGUCAGCUCGUGUCGUGAGAUGUUGGGUUAAGUCCCGCAACGAGCGCAACCCUUAAGCUUAGUUGCCAUCAUUAAGUUGGGCACUCUAAGUUGACUGCCGGUGACAAACCGGAGGAAGGUGGGGAUGACGUCAAAUCAUCAUGCCCCUUAUGAUUUGGGCUACACACGUGCUACAAUGGACAAUACAAAGGGCAGCGAAACCGCGAGGUCAAGCAAAUCCCAUAAAGUUGUUCUCAGUUCGGAUUGUAGUCUGCAACUCGACUACAUGAAGCUGGAAUCGCUAGUAAUCGUAGAUCAGCAUGCUACGGUGAAUACGUUCCCGGGUCU